CGUUGCGAGGCGGAAUCCGAAGGAAGGCGGGGGCGAAACCUUGACCCGAGGAACACGAACCGCAUAAGGCGGGUGCAGGGGGGUGAGACUGCGGAACAAGUCGAAGCCCGAUAUUUGCACGGAGCCUGCGGACGUAAAUGCGGCGGGCACAUGAGGCGGAGG
rnacentral:ncRNA from 1 species